ACACUUUCCCACGAACACUUGGUGGUAAUCCCUGCCACCACAGCUCUCGAACUCUCCGGGUAGCACGCCUAGAACAGGGAGGCACGGAAGAAAAGCAGACCCAUUACACAUCUUGUUUUCUGAAAUUACUGAGCAACUUCAAAGAAAAAUAGCAUGCUAUUUCCCAAAUCAAAAUUCAAUGAUUGCUGCUUAUGUCAAAGUUCCAUUAAAAAAAAAAAGCAACACAACACUGAGCUCCCAAAAGCACAUUUCAUGUUGCUCCGUCAUGACCUUGUACUAGAAUAAUGGCAACAGAAACUGGCUUCACAAAACAAAUGGAAAGAAAAACAAGGUAUGUUGGUCCUCUGUUUCCAGAGGAGGGAGAAGCUACACUCGCUGGAUUUACAAAGCAAGACUUCACUUACAUGCCUUCCCAGUUAGGUAGUAUUUCAUUGACCCAAAUCACCAUAGCACUAGCAAUAUUGUCUUCUUGCUUGAAACGCUCUCUCAUUAUUUUCUUCCUUUUAUGUGCUUCUUUAAUUUCUGUUAAAGAAAACAUAUUAAAAAUUCUGUUAUAAGUGAUUAGGUAAGUAAUUCAGUUGCUACCUAAUUAUGUGGAUUGUAGAUGAAAGAUCAAAGGUAAAUUACAUUUGCUCAUGAGCUAACCAAUACUUUUCCUGAUUAUUGUAGGCAAGUUACAAAUUAUAUAAAAAAGACAUUACGAAAACAAUGCAAGAUGCAAACAAAAUAGUUAUUACAUGUUCUACUCUGAAAAAUAACAAUAAAAAAGCAGUACAAAGUUUCAUAUCUGCUGUAGCUAUUUCUAUGCCAGAUUUGCCGCUUUUACAUUUUUCUUUAACAGUCAAAUAAGUAAGUGUUGAGUUAAACCACUCUUCAAAGCCAUUAAGCAGGAGUAUUUUGUUAGAAAUUGAUCAUUUGAAGAUUCCUUCACGUUAAAAUGUCUAGAAAGAACUGAGCUUUGCCAUCACUAAAAAAAAAUCACUGCGAAAUGGCAAGACAUUUUCUAUUUCUGCAUGCAUUAGGCAAAUCAAAAAAGAAAGCUUGCCAUUCCUGGUAAACGUAUAUGGCUGAACAGCUUCAUUAAGCUUUUAAUGAAGCUUUGUGUGUAACAGCUGUUAAUUUAAUGAAUACUAGGGCACACAUACUAGAACAUUACACAUCACUGGCCCUUCAAAGCUCAUACUUUACCAGAUUUCACUCUUCUCCUGCAGUAUUUACGUUGUCAUAUGCCUUGGAUUUCUCAAUACAUCUUUCAGAGCAAGCUGCUACAGAUCCAUAGAGGCUCACAGUGAGUUCAGGAGCUUAAAUCUGACUGACAACAGCCCAAGUAAAAUAUGCAGCAUGAAUUCUUAAAAUAGCUUAUUCCCUGAACGCUAGGCAUGAGAAUACAGAAGUCCUUUCAACAAACUAUUCAUAGAUUGCCACAGUCCCAAAUGAAAAAAAUGUAAUUUAAAAAGCAGAUCUAAUGGAAGUAGGAAGAUUCACAGAAACAGCUGAUUUGAAAAACAAGGUUUUCAUCCGUCUUCACAUUGACACUGAUAUCAAAUGCCUGUAAAAAAAAAAUCUUUAGGUGGUCGGCUUUAUUCUACUUCAGUUCUCAGUAAGAAGUGUAGCAACACUGCUUGAAAAAGGAGUCCAAGUAAACAGAAAGUUUUCAGACAAUCACAUUAUGCAAGCAGUUUAAAAAAAAAUCAAAUUUCCACUUAAAAAUGAAAAAAAGUUAAACUGAUUUUUGAAUCUAGUUACAUUCACUGUGCCGGAAUAGGAAAAAAAGAGAAUCGUGCUUGGUUUUUAAGUUAUAUGCACAAGCAUAUCAGAAAAUAAUCCUGAAUAUUAAACAAGGUUGUUCUUUACUGUACCUACUAGCCAGAAGAUAUUUUUGCUAUACAGUUAAACAGAAUUAUAGUGAUGAUUAGCAGUUAACAUACCUCGUUUUUUUGCCUCUGCCACCAUUUCAUCAUAUUCUUGUCGGUGACGUAAAGCUUCUUCCACUGAUUUGGCAGGAAGAUUUCUGAAAACAAGUUAUUCCUGAAUUCAAUAUGCACAAAUAACAUACUGAGCCAUUUCAAAACACCUGUUUAAUUUGCUUUCUCUCUAAAGUGAGCUUUGGAGUCGUCACACUAUCAGUGCUUCAGUAACCACAGUGUAAGACUGCUAUUUAUUCAGAACUACCAGGUUUUUACUGCUUCUGCUGAUUUGCUGUCCUACAGCUUCCUACAGGGCCAAGAUCUCCACAUUUCUAGCUCUUUUUCCUUUCAGCUGACAGCAGAAAAAUAAUCUACUUCUAGAAGAGCUUGUUCUUACUCAUCUGUCACCAGUGUCUGAAGUUACUGUAUUUGCUGAACAUCUGAAAUGAUGUCCAAAUGAAGUUUCCAUGAAGCAAUACAAAAAUACUGAUGUUCUUCAUGCAGUUACUAAUUCUAACAAAUUUUUGCAUGUGUGAAUUUUAAUCAUUAAGCAUAACCAGAUCUAUGAUUUUGUUUGUUCAAUAACAGGUAAAGAUAGAAUUACAAAAGAAAGGACAGAGCCCAAUCACACCAGAGCUAAAAUUAAGGAUGCAUGCUACAGAACUAUCAAUUAGACAGCUUCAAUUUUUUUUCAGUUGCACUGUGAUCCUGAUUGCCAAAUUCACACUUCCUUUUGACUACAUAGACUAAUUUCAAAAACAAAAACUGAACACAAGCUUUGGUCUCAGUUUCUUACCUAAUCUUUAUUUUGCUUUGUUUCAAAAUAAAGAGAAGACAUUUCUGUAAUUUAACAGAGAAAAAAAGAUUCUCUGAUUUUUUUUUUUUUUACAAGUAGAACUGAUCAUUUUCUUAAAUUUCAGAAUUAACUGAGCGCAGAAUUUAUGUUCAAGGAUGACAUGACAACAUGCUAUACACUUGGAAUAGCACUCAAAUUUGAAAUGACUAGAAAAGGCAUUCUUAUAGACAUACUUCAGUUACUGUCUUUGUCUCCACCACAGGAUAAAAGGAAAUAACACAUUUACAAAAUCCUAUACUAAUCUGCACCUCUGUUCAAGGCAUUUGUCAAGAUAUUUGUCUCAGCAUUGAAGGAGCUUAUAUACCACUUGAGUGAAUCUCCAAGGAAACACUUCUAAUUGCCAUUUCUUAAUUGAAAUUAACUGAAGCAAACGAGUGCCAUCACAAGUUUUCCCAAGGUGUGAUCUGAAAGCUUUGAUUUAUUUGCUUUCCUCACAGCAUGUGUUCCUAGUCACCUUGUCCUCUUUCUUUCAGAUUGCUGAAGGCAAUAUAGCUGAACGGAUCGAACAAUGUAUUACUCAUUUUUCAUUACUGUUCCCAUUUGUAUUUAAUGCAGUUUUUGUUGCAUCUACAGCUUCCAUUUUGUUGCCUUCAACUGUAGUUUUAAGUAGCCCAGAGAACAUAACUCCUUAUCUUGGUACCAAUAAAGCAAUUAACUAUAUUGGCCAAGUACCUUCAUGUUAGAAAUGUUUAACACUCCUUUUUUAUUUCUUGUGUUUCAAAAGCAAUUCUUUCUAACCCUGUUAUUACUUACCCAAUACUUCUUUCUUUUUUUUGAUAAGUCACCUCCAAAUUUGCUGAAGUGCUAACUGCCACUAUUAAGUCUUCCCUACUGAUCUAGGAAAGUAAUUGUCCAGAAAGAGUGAAGGAGAAGGGAGUGCACACUAAGAUGGCAGAGAAGAAAUCCGUAAGUCUUCAGUAAUUUUCCUGGUUAAGGGUGCCUACAACGCUGUCCCAGUACACAACAGAUAAUUUAUCAGUGACCUCCAUUACGUUAAGAAAAUUUCUCAUAUAGUCUCAUAUACUCACAGGUUCUUUUGGAGAUAUUUGUUAGUUUAUUAUGUGGGAUGGAAUAAAACACAUACUUUUGUGUAAGAAUUACGCUUCUGAUGAGAUAAGUUUCACAUCUGACAAAUUCAGUCAUCAUCAGAUCCACAGCAGAAUUAUACUUACGCUGGUCGAUCCUCCAGAAUCAAAGCAGUAGUUGAAAGUGGUUCAAAUUCAAUGUUUUUACGUCUUGCUGAUGGAGGUGGAGGCUUAUACAUUCUUCCUGUCCGUGCUUCAUAUUCCUAAACAUUAUUGAUAAAGAUGAAAUUUAAACUUUUCAGACUCCCUUCUAACCUAGUGAGCAUAACACUUCCUAGUAAUAUUUACAUAUAUGACACCAAAUCACUUAAGACAGCAAGGAGCUAACAUUACAAAUUGCAAUUACGUAUACAAAGACAAUGCAGCUUUCCAGAACUGCUAAACAAAAGUGACUGAGAAGGCAGUUUCUUUUGUCAACUUAAUCUAUAAUCUACCCUAGUUCAGUGUUACUACAGAACAUCCAGGGGUAAGUUAUAGUUAGAAAAACCUACAUAAUCUUCCCAUAAUAGUUAGUGAACAAGUACAUUUAAAUAAUCUGCAAAGCUGAGUAAAAACACACUAACCAACAAUGGUUAUUUCCUCUUGUUUCUAGCUCCUCUUAAGAUGUGGUACUCUUCUUGUUUAUGAAACCUUUACCAAGACCACUGAAUCCGUUAUCUAGAACCACCUAUUCUGUACUCAGUUACAGUACAACAAUAUUUACAUUGCGGUCUGUUUCACAUCAUUUAUUUCCUCAGAAGUAAAAACAUGCAAUCUACUUCUAAAAUUUAAGUCUUUAACACACAGAAGACUGAGGAGGAAAAAACCUAUUCCUUUUUCCACAGAGCAACUCAUGAAAACACAAAUGAGGCAGUCUUUAGGAAAAAGGCUUGAUAGAGCCAAAUGAAAACCUCAGAAGUUACAUAUUCCCUCUUUUAUAGCCCCUGUAAAUACAGAAAUACUGCCAAAUUACUGAAGAACCAAUUCUUAUAGUUAAGUGAAUAUAAAAGUUUGUCUGUGAAAAGACUUUUAACUUCUUCCCAAACAAAGGCAGCUUGUGGACUCAUAUUCUUAGGCAUGAAGGUUAGAUAGUUAGGUUCACUACACAUCUUCUGUGUGCUGGAAUUCAAACAGAACGUUAGCGUAUCUUUUAAAGAAAACAAAUUCAAGGUUUUUUGGUAAAAUACUUCCAAGUUAAGUCACCAAAAAUAAAAAUAGAUUACUAGUUAGGUCAUAUACCUUCCCAGUCAAACAUUCUUCUGUAAAAACUGCUCCUCUCACCUAAUGCGUAGUUUCUUAUACAUAUUUAUUCUUCCAGGAACAAACAGAGGACUUUACGCGCUCAGUGUUCAUUGACAGCAUUAAACAAACAUAUCUGACAAUUUUAAAUGUAGCUUAAAACUCCGUACACAGUUGAAGUCCAUAAAGAUAAAUGGGAAAAUACCUCUUACAAAAGUGAUAACACAGCUUCAGAUUUCCAGAGAAGACAAAGUUGAUUCACUUUAUGGUGGCUUAAAAUGUUCUGCCCAUCAGCCUUCUGACCUUACCUAUUUUAAUGAUCUCAGACAAGAUUUCUGUUCUUCCACAUUGGGCAUAAUCCAAUGAAGUGGUCCAACAAGCAUGAUUUCGAGGAAGUCACGUAAAACUCCCCACAAGAGAAAGUCACCACAGAAUCUCUGAAGAUGGAAGGGACUGAGCCCAGCUCCCCACUCAAAGCAAGGCUGUGCAAGGCCUUGCCUAGCCAGGUUCUGAGCAGCCCCGAGAAUGGAGGUCCUCAGGAGAGGGAGAGCACCCAGUAUUCCCAGGCAGCUUCCCAGCCAAGUACUAGCCAGGCCCACCCUAAAGGCUCCAGAGAUCAGAGGAGGCCCAGCUGUGCUCCCAGUGGUACAGCCACAUGCAAUAGGCUGUACAGAUUUCCUACAACAAAAUCCUCUCCUGAAGGGUAAUUCCUAGGACAACUUUGAUUGAAAACAAUACGCAUCCAAUAUCACUUGGCACAUUCAAACAAAUACCUUCGACAAGAUUUAAAUAACUGCUGUUAACUCUGUUGUAAUUUACGCAAGCACGAGAAAAAUCAGUAAGCUCAAAAUUCAUUGUGUGAAUGAACAUGCAUAUUUUAAGAGCCUAAAAUUAUUUAAUUCUACCUCAAACCAUAUGACAUCACAGGCACUCCUUCUACCUUGUAUAUGUCAGGCUAUUGUAGCAUAUUCUUAAUUGGGAAUGAUAGCAGCCCAUGGUCAGCAUCCAGCCUGCAGUACUGAAGAACUAGACCCAAACCGCUGAAGGACAGCAGUGUUCCCAUCUCUCAAAGUCUUGACUGGAUUUUACACUUUCCAGUACUUUAUCACAGGAGUGACAAAAUUAAGUUCACUGAGUGGUUGGAGAUGUAGAAGUUGAGCUGGAAUCAACUUUUUCUAUUUUGCAUGAGAAUUAGGUAUGGAGAAAUAAAAGUCAAAUAAGAAGCACCAGAAAGCCAUAAGAAAUGAAGUCAUUCUCACCAUCUUAUUACAAGCUAGACAUCUGAAUGAUGCUGGUGUCUCUGGCUGUCAUAUAGACUAGGAACUGACACACUUACCAAAACAAAAAAGUAAGAAACAGGUAAGAAAAGGCAUAAAAAUCUUCAAAGUGAUUUCCACAAAAGGCAGAAGUCACUAUCCAGCUGUGCUCCUGGAACUAAGGAUGCUUUACAAACAUUUGGUUUUUUGCAGCACGAAAACUCUAAGCAUUACUAGAAAACAGCCACCAAAAUAACUUCAAGCUCAAACUGUCAAGGUUGUACGUUUCCCUAGACAAAAUAAACUCCAAAUAUCAGAACCUCCACAUGGAAGAUGCUUCUUGCUCAGGAAACAUAUCCACCAAGAAAGAUUAGAUCCGAGAAUUUUCAGACAUGCAUGAAAUUCAUUAAUUUGAGCAACUAAAGUACUCAUUCAUUUUUUGGAAUGGGUCUCUCCUUGUGUUACUAGACUUAGAGAUUCCAAUAAGCAUUUGAUAAAGGAUCUGAAAUUCUCGGCACUGAAUAUAAAGCUAGAGCUGACACAGAAUUUUACUUUAAAGGUAAAAAUACAAUUUAAAACACUUGACAAGGCAAGAACAUAAGAUGCUGGACAUAGCCCACAGGAUAGAACAGUUGACAGCUAAGAUUCAAGAAUUGCAAGAUGUGUUUACAGGAGGAAAAAUAACCAUUUUGGAAGCGGUACAUGUAUCACAGCAGGGAAUUUUGUUCCUAAAAAUUCUUUAUUGCAGCAUAUCUCAAAAUAGAUAAAAAAACAAAUAUCAGCUUUAAUUGCAAGCAAAAAAUAGUUCAUAGAACCACAGGAUGGCUGGGUUGGAAGGGACCUCAAAGCCCACGCAGUCCUAACCCGCUGCCAUGGGCUGGGUGCCCUCCACCAGGUCAGGGUCCAGGGCCCCAUCCAACACGGCCUUGAGCGCCUCCAGGGAUGGGGCACCCACAGCUUUCUGGGCCGCAGUGCCAGUGCCUAUCCUCUGAGUAAAAAAUUCCCUUCCUAGUAUCUAAUCUAGAUACCACUUAUCUUUUACUUGUCUCCUUAUCAAUUCCAGAACUGCAUCUUCUCAUCUACUGUCAUUCAUAAAGCUGCAAACAAAUUAAAAGCAUGUUUUUCCUGAAAAACAUUGUGACAACUCAGUAAGAGCACUUCGAUAUGUGGACAGACUAGAAUUUCCAGUAUUUAUUCGUACAGAAAUACAGACAAGCCUAUUAACCUGAAGACAGGUAAUAGGUAAAUGGGGCAGCAUAAUAGAGCUGCCUUUGUGCUUAUGAUAAAGAUAUUCCAAUUUGCAGCUUUUUUUAUUCCCUUUUAAAAUUGAGUCUCUUAGGAAGGCACCCUACAUCACCUUGGAAAAACUGGUAACUAAGUUAUUUAAGCAGAAAUUCUGCUUAAUUCUUAAGGACCACCUCUUGCACACCAAACUCCAAGUUGUAUGUUGAAAUUACUGAACCAGAAUUGGCUAUAAGUUGCUUAAAAACAAGAUGGUGCUUAUAGCAAGAACAGAUAUCACUGAAAGAUUCUCAAGUCAUGCUCCAGGUAUUUUUUCAGAACUAAGAAAGCAGAUGCUUUCAGACAGACAGAACAGUACAUUUGUUUCUUACUUCCAGAUUACAGGCAGGGAAGAAUACCAUGUCUCACAUCAUAGGAGAGAAGAACCAAAUGGAUGCUGAAAAGAUUCUAGAUCAACUUUCCAAAGUAACAUCAUCCAUCUCCCAUCUUUAACUUGCUUUAUUUUUCCUCAAAUGGAUUUUUCACAAGUUGCAUCAAGUUUCACCUCUUGUUGCUUACAAAAACACAUGAAGCUAUGGGCUUCUGGGCCCAAUAAAGAAGAGAUGAGAGAACCUGAACCAUGUAACAUGAACCACAGGCAUUAUAUAUCAGCGAGCAGUCACAUUACUGCUCUAUUUCACAUACAGUAACAGAUCCACAGAAUGAAAAGCAAAGUUAUGCUAUUCCUGUUUACCAUCAAGUAUGGGAUUACUGAAGAGUUCUCAAAGAGGCAGAUGCAUUGGACCAAUUUCAGAAGCAAACCAGUCACAGCAAAUGGAAGAUAUAACACCACAUAACAAAAGAGUUUCAACAGCUGCACCUUUCUACAGUUCCAGUUUUAUACAGGAAAGUAUGAUUAAAAGCAUCUAAAAUUCUGAAGUGCUACAGCUCAUGUGCCUUAGAGUUGAGAAAAAUAAGCUUAGAGGAUAUCAAUUUGUCAAAUUUAUACAGUGUUCAAAAAUAAUGUUAACAGUUGUUAAAAUGGCUUAAUUUUUUUUAAGUAUGGACGCACAAACAUAGGUAAUGCUAGAACUUGACAGUAAUUUACUCUACCUUCUGCUAUUCAAGAACAUGCAGUAUGUUAAUAAACAAUAAUACUCUAUCACUUGAAGUUGUUAGUGAGAAUCAUGUGUGAAAGUUUUGGUUUUUUUUUUUUUUACUAAUGGUAUCUAAUGAGUUGAUGGUUAGUGCCAUAAAAUAUUCAUGCUACUGUGAAAAUGUGAUGUUUGUUCUAUUUUUAAUGAGUGCUACAUAGUCCCAUGCAUGGCAUUGAAUACAACUAGAAAAAAAC
ensembl:lncRNA